GACGAACGCUGGCGGCGUGCCUAACACAUGCAAGUCGAACGGAAAGGCCCUGCUUGCAGGGUGCUCGAGUGGCGAACGGGUGAGUAACACGUGGGUGAUCUGCCCCUUACUUUGGGAUAAGCCUGGGAAACUGGGUCUAAUACUGGAUAGGACCAUGCUGUAGGUGGUGUGGUGGAAAGAUUAGUUUCGGUAAGGGAUGAGCUCGCGGCCUAUCAGCUUGUUGGUGGGGUAAUGGCCUACCAAGGCGUCGACGGGUAGCCGGCCUGAGAGGGUGGACGGCCACAUUGGGACUGAGAUACGGCCCAGACUCCUACGGGAGGCAGCAGUGGGGAAUAUUGCACAAUGGGCGCAAGCCUGAGGCAGCGACGCCGCGUGGGGGAUGACGGCCUUCGGGUUGUAAACUCCUUUCAGCCAUGACGAAGCCUUCGGGUGACGGUAGUGGUAGAAGAAGCACCGGCUAACUACGUG
rnacentral:rRNA from 1 species